AUUGAACGCUGGCGGCAUGCCUUACACAUGCAAGUCGAACGGCAGCACGGGAGCAAUCCUGGUGGCGAGUGGCGAACGGGUGAGUAAAGUAUCGGAACGUGCCCAGUCGUGGGGGAUAACGUAGCGAAAGUUACGCUAAUACCGCAUACGAUCUAUGGAUGAAAGCGGGGGAUCGCAAGACCUCGCGCGAUUGGAGCGGCCGAUAUCAGAUUAGGUAGUUGGUGGGGUAAAGGCUCACCAAGCCGACGAUCUGUAGCUGGUCUGAGAGGACGACCAGCCACACUGGGACUGAGACACGGGCCAGACUCCUACGGGAGGCAGCAGUGGGGAAUUUUGGACAAUGGGCGAAAGCCUGAUCCAGCCAUGCCGCGUGCAGGAUGAAGGCCUUCGGGUUGUAAACUGCUUUUGUACGGAACGAAAAGGUUUGGUCUAAUAAGCUGAGCUCAUGACGGUACCGUAAGAAUAAGCACCGGCUAACUACGUGCCAGCAGCAGCCGCGGUAA
rnacentral:rRNA from 1 species